rnacentral:sRNA from 1 species
UGGGGCAGCUGGUCUGUGCUGCCGAGGAAUUGGAAUGUGUGCUUCUGGCAAGAUAUCCAGCAGACAUCUUGGGACACUGCGGUGCUGAAGCUAGCAAGUUGUUCAAACCCUCCAUUGUGGAUGUGUUUUCACGAGUACACGUAAAGAGUGGCUGCUGAGUGGAAAAGAUGCUGCUGGGUUUCAGUGAAUCCGUCCCUGUUAUUUCUUUUACUCUUCCAUAUCAGUUCCAUUGAAUGAAAUCAGGACAGGAGCGCAAACAGGGAGGGAAGCUGGAGGCAGGACAUGCUGCAAGGCCAUGGAGGAGCGCUGCUUAGUCUCGUGAUUGUUCUUUUAUGUUAGUCAGUUUGAACUGAAAAUAAAUGGGAAAUGAGUGAA